GUGCUCACUUCAGCAGCACAUAUACUAAAAUUGGAACUAUAUAGAGAAGAUUAGCAUGGCCCCUGCGCUAGUAUGACACACAAAUUCGUGAAGUGUUCCAUAUUUUU
rnacentral:snRNA from 1 species